UGAGGCCUACGGGACGCAGCAGUCGGGAAUAUUGCGCAAUGGAGGAAACUCUGACGCAGUGACGCCCCGUAUAGGAAGAAGGUUUUCGGAUUGUAAACUAUUGUCGUUAGGGAAGAUAAAAGACUGUACCUAAGGAGGAAGCCCCGGCUAACUAUGUGCCAGCAGCCGCGGUAAUACAUAGGGGGCAAGCGUUAUCCGGAAUUAUUGGGUGUAAAGGGUGCGGAGUCGGCAGAACAAGUUGGUUGUGAAAUCCCUCGGCUCAACUGAGGAACUGCAACCGAAACUAUUCGACUUGAGCAUCGGAG
rnacentral:rRNA from 1 species